UACGUAGGGUGCAAGCGUUGUCCGGAAUUAUUGGGCGUAAAGAGCUCGUAGGCGGUUUGUCGCGUCUGCUGUGAAAAACUCGGGGCUUAACCCCGGGCCUGCAGUGGGUACGGGCAGACUAGAGUGCGGUAGGGGAGACUGGAAUUCCUGGUGUAGCGGUGAAAUGCGCAGAUAUCGGGAGGAACACCAGUGGCGAAGGCGGCGCUCUGGGCCGGAACUGACGCUGAGGAGCGAAAGCGUGGGUAGCAAACAGG
rnacentral:rRNA from 1 species